rnacentral:ncRNA from 1 species
AGCAGUACGGAGUAUUUUUUAAUAUUUACCUCUCUCUUGAGGUUAUGUUCAGAUUCUACACACAGCAGUGCAACAUCUGUCAGUACCUCUGGUGUCC